UUCAAUAUAUGACUUCCCCAGAAUGAAGAUACCAGUAUAACUGUAGAAGGAAGAACCUCAAGAGGGAGAUAAAAUGGAAAGGACAGUGUCAGAUCUCUCUCCUCUGAUUUUUAUUGGGGAUACCUGAGACUAGAGAUGUUUUUUGGGGUGGGGUGGGUAGAGUAUGUAGAUUCACUUGAAUUCAGUGGUAGAAAGGCCACAAUUCAGCAAGAAUAAUAGGGAAAGUUCUGCUCAGAUGUGCCUAGGAGUUAACCACAGACUACAGGGUUGACCAUCACGCAGUUAUCAAGUGGUGGCCAUUUUCAGUCACACGAUAGCAGGGGACAGAUCUGAAUUUGUGAUCUAGAAGUUGAAAGCUCCCUGGGUCCUCUUUUAUUCUCUGAGCUAGCUAGCUUUUUAUUGUUUCUUUCCUUCUCUGUGCCUAUUUCCCCUGCUAUCUCAUCUUUGCCUUUCCCUUCUUAUUCUGAACUCGGAGCUUAUCUCUUAAACUGAUUUAUUUUUUUGGUUUUAUAGCUUUGGGGAGCAGCUGAAAUGAACAGAAAAAAAAUAAUACCAAGAGCAAAUCUGACUAUUUUACUGACAACAAACAGAUGCUGGGACAGGUGCUGCUGUCAUUAGAUUCAAGUAGCAAGACAAAAGUCAGGUGAUGGCUCAGAAUGCAGUGGAUGACCUUGGUCUCUUCAACUAAGAGAAGCUCCUUCAUGGCCAAUGGAACCAAUUGUUCUCAUCUGCUUCUUCUAACAGGGAGUCUUCAAAUGUCUCAGAGUCAGGGAGAAGGAACUUAAAAAAGAAACAAAACAAACAAAUGAAAAAAUAAUUUAUCUAUGAGGAUCUAUCAGCAAUCUGGAAGAGAGAAGAAUGAGAGGGAGAAGAAUCUCAUUUUUGACUUUUGAAGGUGGCCUGGAAUGCAAACAAUUAACUUAGGAGACAUUUAAAAAGUCCACAACCUGUAGGUAACAUUUUUGUGGAGAGGAGGAAUUGAAAGAAAGGAAUAAAAAGAGCCAGGAAAAAAAGGGAAGAAAAACCCCAACAACAAAGAAAAGGAACUAGAGAAGAAAUUAUGCCAGUCCAGAUUGCAGCUCUCCAACUGUGGCUAAACUGAUUGCUUGCCUGACAUUAUAAGGCCGAUUACACCCUCCCCAGAGGAAUAUUAUAAACAAGGAUUUACAAUCAAAAUAUUUUUAUUUGUUUGAAAAUUAAUUUGGCAAGGCAGAAGAUCAGAGGUAUAAAGCAGAUGGAAAAAUCAGCCUGCUCUCUUUGCCUUUAAGGAAGCAGCUGUAGAGCAGCAGAAAAUGGAAUAAAAAUGUCACUUGUGCCCUGAAGCUCCCGUAAAAAGAAGACAAUACAGCUCCUUCUUUCUCUCCCUCCCCCAGUCCUGCUCCCUCCAAACACAAAAGCUACUCUCUCCUCCAGCAGGUAUUAAACAUUAAUGGCCAUUCCUGUAAUAAGGUGCAGAGAACGACUCCCUACAGUUCAGCUGCCCAAUCAUUUGGGUUUGGGGAGGUCCUCAGCCCAGCACUCAUUGGAAUUGAUUUUGUCUUCCUGUUUUCCUUGCUACAGCCUUCGGGCUGAAAGUAACUAAACACUUCUUUUCUCAUUCCGCUUCACUGAAAUAUUUAUCUGAUUAUCUGUUUGAUGAAAAGGUUAUUGCAAGAAUAAUGAUGACUUGCUCCCUGCAUAUAUUCAAACAUGAAGAGGAUAAAGAAAACUUCAUGGGUAGAAUGAUACAGAUGCCUUUCUGAUGCUGUCUUGUGAAUAAAUAACACAGAGCACUGUGAGAAAUUAUAGCCUAGGAGAAAGAAGACUGUAUACAUGGAACCACAGUGGCCAAAUGGGAGGAAAUCAAUCAAGCAAAGUAAAAAUUUAGGCAUAUAUUUAUAUACAUAUAUCUGCAAGGAUGUAUUAUUCUAAGAGAUACUUUCCCAACCCCACUACCAUCUUGUCCCAUCCUGGCAACUCUACUGGAUUACACAGAAUUCUUACAUGAGGUUACAAUUUUCCUUUUAUUAUAAUUACUCAGUGAACAAAAUGGGAACUCUAAUUGUUUUCCUGCAGGAAUAUCAAGCAACUGCCUAUUUGUUGUAAGAGCAAUAUAUACAU